UGGUAACCCACUCCACUAUUCUUGCCUGAGAAAUCCCAUGGACAGAGGAGCUUAGUGGGCUAAAGUCCAUGAGGUCGCAAAAGGUCAGACACAACUUAGCAACUAAACAACAGCAACAACUCCUUGUUAAGAGUCUUCAGUCUUUCCACCGGGUGUCAAUACAACUCAGGAAAACCAGCUGACUCUGCUGUGGUUUUAGGCAUUUUCCUCCCUGCCCCCUCAUUGUUUUUCAAAUACCCUGCCUCGUUGCACCUGCUACAACUUUCUUUUUCAACAGAACAUUUUCCCAGGUCACUACCAGUGAAACCAGGCAACUGAGCUGCAGUGUGUUGCCAGGAAUUAUCUAGGCUUACCAUCAGCUAGGAAAGUGUUCUCUCUACUUCUGGGUGUGUAGCUGGUGAACCGUUCUCCACGUCACCAUCUUGGUGCCCUUUUUCUCAGGCUAAUCCUGGUACCAUUUGUGAAAGUGAAGAUACUCCAAGUAGCAGACAGCAAAGCAGGAAUAAAUACGCAAGAAUUUCAUCAGGAGAAUGCCUGUGAGACAAAGGGUCUGGGGACACUAAGAGAGCUGGCAGACUACAAUGCAAGUUGAACCCAAGGAAAGGAUAGAAGGAAGAAAGGUGAGGUAGAAGAUCCUAGACCAUCCUACAGUCUAAAGAAGGUUCAGCAAAGCUGUUGGAGACAUGCUUAAAACACAAGGACAGAGGAAGACUGGAAAAUGAAAACUUUAUCAGCGAGGCCCUUUCGAAUCUGGAGGUGGAGUGACGUAUCAACUGGAGACGAAAAAAGACACACACACACACACGUCUUUGAAGUCUGAAAGGCACGUGAAGUGGACCAUAGGGUGUAUGGCACAUUUUUUUUUUUCCAAGUAAAUAUCCUAGUUUUAAAGAGCCCAGCUUACAAUCUUUUGCAAUCAUUGUUACAUAU